UAAAUUAGCUAGGAGGAGCCUA
rnacentral:miRNA from 1 species